rnacentral:rRNA from 1 species
UACGUAGGGUGCGAGCGUUAAUCGGAAUUACUGGGCGUAAAGCGUGCGUAGGCGGUUCGUUAAGUCAGCUGUGAAAGCCCUGGGCUCAACCUAGGAAUUGCGGUUGAAACUGGCGAACUAGAAUCUGGCAGAGGGGGGUGGAAUUCCACGUGUAGCAGUGAAAUGCGUAGAGAUGUGGAGGAACACCGAUGGCGAAGGCAGCCCCCUGGGCUGAGAUUGACGCUCAGGCACGAAAGCGUGGGGAGCAAACAGG